CCUACGGGAGGCAGCAGUGGGGAAUAUUGGGCAAUGGAGGAAACUCUGACCCAGCGACGCCGCGUGCGGAAUGAAGGCCUUCGGGUUGUAAACCGCUUUCAGUAGGGAAGAAGCGAAAGUGACGGUACCUACAGAAGAAGCACCGGCUAACUAUGUGCCAGCAGCCGCGGUAAUACAUAGGGUGCAAGCGUUGUCCGGAAUUAUUGGGCGUAAAGAGCUCGUAGGUGGUUCGUCACGUCGGAUGUGAAAAUCUGGGGCUCAACCCCAGACCUGCAUUCGAUACGGGCGAUCUAGAGUGUGGUAGGGGAGACUGGAAUUCCUGGUGUAGCGGUGGAAUGCGCAGAUAUCAGGAGGAACACCAAUGGCGAAGGCAGGUCUCUGGGCCAUUACUGACACUGAGGAGCGAAAGCGUGGGGAGCGAACAGGAUUAGAUACCCUGGUAGUCCACGCCGUAAACGGUGGGCACUAGUUGUGGGAACCUUCCACGGUUUCUGCGACGCAGCUACGCAUAAGUGCCCGCCGUCGGGAGGUACGACGUCGCGAAGAAUUAAAACUAACAAGGAAAGUUAGACGGCGUGAGACGUGCCGAACGGACGACGACGAGGGAGGUAGG
rnacentral:rRNA from 1 species